rnacentral:ncRNA from 1 species
CAAUGAUUUAAUUUUAGUCAUUAAUUAAUUAAAUUAAUAACUUUUAUAUAUAAAAUAUUUUAUAAAACAAAAAUAUAGUAAUAAUAAAAUCUGAAAUAAUAAAUUAAUGUUUAAUUCGGAAAUUAAAAUUAAUAAAAGUAAAAACAUAGUGCCAGCAACAGCGGUUAAACUAGUUUUAUAAAUUAAUUUAAACAAAAUUAUUGAAAUUAUAUAAAAUUAACAAAAUUUUAAUUAAUUAAUUAAAUUUAUAGUGAAAUAUAAAAUUUAAAUUUAAUAAUUAAAUAUUAUAUUUAUAAUUAUUUAAAAAUUUUAGUAAAAAACUAGGAUUAGAUACCCUACUAUAAAAAACAAUAAAUAAAAUUAAUUAUUAAAUGUAAAUCAUUAAAAUUAAAAAAUGUGGCGGCCUUAUAUCCUUAUUAAAGAAACUUGUAUUUUAAUUGAUAAUCCACGAUAAGAUAGACUUAAUUUUAUGUUUAUGUAUUGCUGUUUAAAGAUUUUAAUAUAAAAAAAAGUUGCAAUAUUCAUUAAAAAUAAUAAUUCAAGUCAAAAUGUAGCAUAAUUAAGAUAAUAUGAGUUAUAAUAAAAUAUAUUUCUGGAUAAAUGUUAUUUUAAUAUUAUUUAGAAAGAGGAUCUAAAAGUAAAUUUUCUUAAUUAAUUAAAUUGAAAUUAGUUUUAUUAGGUGUACAAAUUGCCCGUCAAUUUCAUUACAAGUGAAGUAAGUCGUAACAUAGUAAAUGUACUGGAAAGUGUAUUUAGUAAUAA